GGGUCUCCGGGGCCAUGCUCUGGAAGGGACUAUCUCUCUUUGUUCUCUGCUUCCCCACAGCCAUGCCAUGGGCUCCUCUCCUCCACCCUAACCCUCUGCCGCACCUUCCUGCCUCGAACCAGCUGGCCAUACAAGGCCUGAAACCUCUACAAGCUGUGAGCCAAAUAAACCUCUCUUCCUUCACAUUGUGGAAUUCGGGUACAGUGUCUCUGUGACAAGGAAAGUGACAUCAAUGGACUGUGUCUGCAGUAAUUCAGCCGAGGGCUCUGGAGCCCAUGGUCCUGGGAGUCAAGAUUCCGGAGCCUGCAUUCUUCUGAAAGGGAUCCAAGGAGGUUCUGUCUGGUUUCAUGUGAGCGAGUGGCCUGGAAAAGAUCUAGGAGCCAAGCUGGAGGAGACCACGUGGGGCUUUGCUUCUGAGGCAGCGUGCACAAGAUUUCUGAGAGUCCAGAGUGGGACAAAUGCUCCAACCUGGUUCAGCCUCAUGGACACGUACAAAGCAAGGGUCCAAGUGCCCAAUGUGACGUCCCUGAAGAUUGGGAACUUGACCCCACAGGACAGUGGGCAGGUUAACUGA
rnacentral:lncRNA from 1 species